CGGCGGCCCAAGUGGUGGCCGCUAUUAUUGGGCCUAAAGCGUCCGUAGCCGGGCCCGUAAGUCCCUGGCGAAAUCCCACGGCGCAACCGUGGGGCUUGCUGGGGAUACUGCGGGCCUUGGGACCGGGAGAGGCCGGGGGUACCCCUGGGGUAGGGGUGAAAUCCUAUAAUCCCAGGGGGACCGCCAGUGGCGAAGGCGCCCGGCUGGAACGGGUCCGACGGUGAGGGACGAAGGCCAGGGGAGCGAACCGGAUUAGAUACCCGAGUAGUCC
rnacentral:rRNA from 1 species